rnacentral:ncRNA from 3 species
UGAGGUAGUAGGUUGUACAGUU